rfam:Oryza sativa Japonica Group DNA, chromosome 2, cultivar: Nipponbare, complete sequence.
UCAGCUCGUGUUGUAAGGUGUUGGUUUAAGUCUCGCAACAAGCGCAACACUCAUGUUUAGUUGCCAUUAUGAGUUUGGAACCCUGAACAGACCGCCGGUGUUAAGCCGGAGGAAGGAGAGGAUGA